GAUGAACGCUGGCGGCGUGCCUAAUACAUGCAAGUCGAGCGAACAGACGAGGAGCUUGCUCCUCUGACGUUAGCGGCGGACGGGUGAGUAACACGUGGAUAACCUACCUAUAAGACUGGGAUAACUUCGGGAAACCGGAGCUAAUACCGGAUAAUAUAUUGAACCGCAUGGUUCAAUAGUGAAAGACGGUUUUGCUGUCACUUAUAGAUGGAUCCGCGCCGCAUUAGCUAGUUGGUAAGGUAACGGCUUACCAAGGCAAGGAUGCGUAGCCGACCUGAGAGGGUGAUCGGCCACACUGGAGCUGAGACACGGUCCAGAGUCCGACGGGAGGCAGCAGUAGCGAAGCUUCCGAAAUGGGCGAAAGCCUGACGGAGCAACGCCGCGUGAGUGAUGAAGGUCUUCGGAUCGUAAAACGCUGUUAUUGGGGAAGAACAAAUGUGUAAGUAACGAUGCACGUCUUGACGGUACCGAAUCAGAAAGCCACGGCUAACUACGU
rnacentral:rRNA from 1 species